rnacentral:rRNA from 1 species
GAUGAACGCUGGCGGUAUGCUUAACACAUGCAAGUCGAACGGACUCUUCGGAGUUAGUGGCGGACGGGUGAGUAACGCGUGAGAAUCUGGCUUUGGGUUCGGGACAACCACUGGAAACGGUGGCUAAUACCGGAUGUGCCAAGAGGUAAAAGAGAAAUUGCCUGAAGAUGAGCUCGCGUCUGAUUAGCUAGUUGGUGAGGUAAAGGCUCACCAAGGCAGCGAUCAGUAGCUGGUCUGAGAGGAUGACCAGCCACACUGGGACUGAGACACGGCCCAGACUCCUACGGGAGGCAGCAGUGGGGAAUUUUCCGCAAUGGGCGAAAGCCUGACGGAGCAAUACCGCGUGAGGGAAGAAGGCUCUUGGGUUGUAAACCUCUUUUCUUAGGGAAGAACAAAAUGACGGUACCUAAGGAAUCAGCAUCGGCUAACUCCGUG